rnacentral:rRNA from 1 species
UACGUAGGAUGCGAGCGUUAUCCGGAUUUAUUGGGUUUAAAGGGUGCGUAGGCGGAUCGUUAAGUCAGUGGUCAAAUUGAGGGGCUCAACCCCUUCCCGCCAUUGAAACUGGCGAUCUUGAGUGGAAGAGAAGUAUGCGGAAUGCGUGGUGUAGCGGUGAAAUGCAUAGAUAUCACGCAGAACCCCGAUUGCGAAGGCAGCAUGCCGGCUCCCUACUGACGCUGAAGCACGAAAGCGUGGGGAUCGAACAGG